AACUUUAGAUAGUUCGAGUUCUAGAGAAAACAGUUGGCAGGUAAAUCAUGCACCCUCUCUCAGUCAUCCUGAGAAACCUGUUUGUGGGCCCUGUGCUCGCCCCAAGAAAAGAGUCUCAUUUGGCCUACGUCACUGCUGGCCAUCCUUUUCCUGUUCACUUAGACAGUAUAGAGUUGGGGUGAAGGAACCAUUUCUGUCCAAAAUGAUUUAAGAUGACAUUUCUAAGAACUACUUUUUCUGAUUGAAAAGCAAGAAGAACAUGGGAGAGCUGACUAGUUGGAAGUGCUUACUCGUCUUUCAGGAGAUCCUGUUAAGUGGAUCACUGGAUCACAGCUACCUGGAACUUUAGCUCCAGGGAAUCCAAUGCCCUCAUCUAGCAUUUGUGGACCUACACACACACACACACACACACACACACACACACACACACCUUGACACAGUUAUCUGAGAAGAAAGAACUUCAAUUGAGAAACUUUAUAGAGAAAAUAUCUCUACAACAUUGGGCUCUAGUUUGGUGAAAACCACGGUUAUCAGGGAAGAGGAAACUCAGCUGAGAAAUACCUCCAUCCAGAUGGCCUAUAGGCAACUUUGUAGGACGUUUUCUUGUUUCAUGUUUGAUGCUAGAAGGACCUGACGACAGAGAGCGGACCCCGCCCCCAGUCCCAGGCCAGAUGGUCUAGAAUUGUGUAACAAAGCAAGGUGAAGAAGCCACGGGGAGGGGAGCAGAUCAGCAAACAGCAUUCCUCCAUGGUUUCAGUUUCUGCUUCUAGUUUCCUGUCUUGAAUUCUUGUCCCAACUUCCAUAGGAUGGACUGUUACAUGGAAGUACAAGAUGAAAUAAACUCUUCCCUCCCAAA